UGCAGAUGAUGAUACGAAUAUUUGCUAUCUUAACAUCAUUGACGACAACUUUAAUCACCAAGAUCGCUGAUGCA